UCUCCGUUGGUGAACCAGCGGAGGGAUCAUUACAGAGUUCCACAACUACCAACCCCUGCGAACCGUACCCCAGUUUGUUCUCGUUGCCUCCUGCCACCGGGCCCCCGGCGCCACCGCCGGGCCCCCCGCCAGCGGCGUCGAGCCCCCUGAACCUUUUUUUCUCAACCAGCUCGUCUGAGCAAACAAACAAAUGAUUCAAAACUUUCAACAACGGAUCUCUUGGUUCUG
rnacentral:misc_RNA from 1 species